GAACGAACGCUGGCGGCGUGCCUAACACAUGCAAGUCGAACGCGAAAGGGGCUUUCGGGCCCCCGGUAGAGUGGCAGACGGGUGAGUAGCACGUGAGUCAUCUACCCCUCGGACCGGGAUAACAUUCCGAAAGGGAUGCUAAUACCGGAUGAGACCACGGGGCUGCAUAGUCCUGGGGUCAAAGGUGGCCUCUCCGUGGAAGCUGCCGCUGAGGGAUGAGCUCGCGGACCAUUAGCUAGUUGGUGAGGUAAUGGCCCACCAAGGCGACGAUGGUUAGCCGACCUGAGAGGGUGAUCGGCCACACUGGAACUGAGACACGGUCCAGACUCCUACGGGAGGCAGCAGUGGGGAAUAUUGCGCAAUGGGGGAAACCCUGACGCAGCAACGCCGCGUGCGCGACGAAGGCCUUCGGGUCGUAAAGCGCUGUCAGGGGGGAAGAAAAGGCUUGGGUGAAUAGCCUGGGCUCUUGACGGUACCCUCGAAGGAAGCCCCGGCUAACUCCGUGCCAGCAGCCGCGGUAAUACGGAGGGGGCGAGCGUUGUUCGGAAUUACUGGGCGUAAAGGGCGUGUAGGCGGUGCGGAAAGUCCGGUGUGAAAGCCCUCGGCUCAACCGGGGGAGUGCAUCGGAAACUCCUGCUCUUGAGUGCGGGAGAGGGGAGUGGAAUUCCCAGUGUAGCGGUGAAAUGCGUAGAUAUUGGGAAGAACACCCGGUGGCGAAGGCGGCUCCCUGGACCCGCAACUGACGCUGAGACGCGAAAGCUGGGGGGAGCAAACGGGAUUAGAUACCCCGGUAGUCCCAGCCCUAAACGAUGGGCACUAGGUGUGGGGGGUGUUGACCCCUCCUGUGCCGCAGCUAACGCAAUAAGUGCCCCGCCUGGGGAGUACGGUCGCAAGGCUAAAACUCAAAGGAAUUGACGGGGGCCCGCACAAGCGGUGGAGCAUGUGGUUUAAUUCGACGCAACGCGAAGAACCUUACCUGGGCUUGACAUGGCCCGGACAGGUCGAGAGAUCGACCCUCCCUUCGGGGCCGGGUCACAGGUGCUGCAUGGCUGUCGUCAGCUCGUGUCGUGAGAUGUUGGGUUAAGUCCCGCAACGAGCGCAACCCUCACCCUUAGUUGCCAGCGGUUCGGCCGGGAACUCUAAGGGAACUGCCGGUGAUAAACCGGAGGAAGGUGGGGAUGACGUCAAGUCCUCAUGGCCUUUAUGCCCAGGGCGACACACGUGCUACAAUGGCCGGUACAAAGGGUUGCGAAGCCGCGAGGCGGAGCCAAUCCCAAAAAACCGGUCUCAGUUCGGAUUGGAGUCUGAAACUGACUCCAUGAAGCCGGAAUCGCUAGUAAUCGUGGAUCAGCACGCCACGGUGAAUACGUUCCCGGGCCUUGUACACACCGC
rnacentral:rRNA from 1 species